GCUCAGUAACACGUAGCUAACCUUCCUUAAGAUCGAGAAUACCCUCGGGAAACUGAGAAUAAUGCUCGAUACAAGAUGCUUACUGGAAUGUGGUAUCUUUGAAACGUAAGGUCUUAAGAUGGGGCUGCGGCUGAUUAGGUUGUUGGCGGGGUAAAGGCCCACCAAGCCGAUGAUCAGUAAGGGCUUUUAGCGAAGGGGCCCUGAGAAGGAAUCUGAGACACUAUUCCUAGCCCUACGGGGUGCAGCAGUUAAGAAUAUUCUGCAAUGCGCGUAAGCGUGACAGAGCGAGCCAGAGUGUUUCUCAAUAUGAGAAACUUUUGCUUACUGUAAAAAGGUAGGCGAAUAAGGACCGGGCAAGACUGGUGCCAGCCGCCGCGGUAAUCCCAGCGGUUCAAGUCGCAGCCACAAUUAUUGGGUCUAAAACAUCCGUAGCUUGCUUUGCAAGUCUCUUGUGAAAUCCUGUAUCUUAAGUACAGGGCGGGCAGGAGAUACUGCAUUGCUAGAGACCGGGAGACGUAAGAAGUACGGUCAAGGUAGUAGUAAAAUACGUUGAUCUUGAUCGGACUCACAAUAGCGAAGGCAUCUUACGAGCACGGAUCUGACAGUGAGGGAUGAAGGCUAGGGUCGCGAAAAGGAUUAGAUACCCUUGUAGUCCUAGCAGUAAACACUGCACACUAAACAUCAGUAUCUCCUCGAGAGACAUUGGUGCUGUAGGGAAGCCGUAGAGUGUGCUACCUGGGAAGUAUAGUCGCAAGACCGAAACUUAAAGGAAUUGGCGGGGGGGCACUACAACAGGUGACGCGUGCGGUUCAAUUAGAUUCUACACUGUGAACCUACACCAGGAGCGACAGCAGAAUGAAGGUCAGUCUGAAGGGCUUACCUGACACGCUGAGAGGAGGUGCAUGGCCAAUCUAGAUGACU
rnacentral:rRNA from 1 species